UUUCACAAGGAGUAAGGGAAGUCGAAGGAAGAAUGUUCUUCCUUCGGCUUCCUGCUGUGUAGACAGCGCCAUAAGAUGAAUUAAGCUAUUACGACUUCUGCUACACAAUUGACGCAGCUCAAGUUGCUAGCUUAAUUCGACUUUUGCCCUGCUGUGUAGACGUGCCCUGACAAAAUAUCUUCAACUGUAAUUCUUGAGUGAACAGCUUCAGACAAGCAAACAUUCUUGCCUUAUUGCUCAGCCAGCAAGGAGAUGUACCAGGGACUGACACAUUCCCUGUCUGGCCUUGGAUGAGAAAGGUAUUUUGAUAGCUCAUGGCUAGGUGGUAACAGGGAGAACUUGAGACAAUAGACCAAGUCCUGUUCACUGAGGAGAGCAGUCGCCCUCCUCUAACGGGAUCAGGUGAAGAGAGAGGAGUAAGACCGUGCGCUCACUGCAACAAAGAGGCUCUUUCUACUGUAGCAUCCAGAAUGCAAGGAAGUGCAUGAGAUUCUCAAAUUACCAAUUCAAAAAGACCUAAAAAAAUCAGUGGGAAAAGUUGUGCUUAGCCCUGGGAGAAAGGCGGUGCACUGCAUCAUGUAGCAACAGGCCACAAGAUCAAAUACAAACUGUAGUAACAGAGAGAGAGGAUGAAAUCCAAAAUCCAGCAUGUUAAUUCCACCCUGAGCAAUUCAUAACCAUAUCUGACAACUCAGAGGGCUGAUUUCCUUAGGGGAUGUCUACACUUUGCAGCUUUUAGCAACAAAAGUCAGCAUACGUAAAUUCUGUUUGUUGGCACUUUUGCCAACAAAAUACUUCCACCCUCCAACGAGCAGGUUUCACUUUCUGGGGAGGAGAGCGCUCCUGCCGACAAAGCAGGUGAAAAGGUUUCUUAGGCAGUUGGGUGUUCAGUAGGUUGUUUGGUAACUCUCGCUCAUUUCAGGGGUGAGAACAGGAAAAGAAGGGUUAAAAAAAAAAAGCCAUCCCCUAUCGUAAAGUGUUCUCAAAGGCAGGGCCAGCCAAGAGUUUUUGGCACUCUAGAUGAACUAUGACUUUGUUGUGCCCUCUCUAACCCCAUUCACACUUGCACUUGCCCGAGCAAAACGUUGUCAUUCCUGGGAGGGAGGGGAGGUUUAAGCACCUUGAUAAAACUUGUUAAUGGGAAGUGUAGACAUACCCUUACUCUUUCACCUAUGUGUAGCUGGUUAUGUCCCAGCUUAAAUAAACUGAAAACUGAGCUGGUGCUCUGGAUUUCCCUCCACCCACGCACCUUUUCUACACCUCAAAAAUGCUUUAGCAUCUGGUGCUUUCAACAAUGUUGCAUGUCUGCAUUAAUGAUAGGACAUGGCCUCAUGUUUGGAAAUCAGACAGCACAAAUAAACAAGCAAACAGCUUCUGUGGCCAGCAAACAGAAGUCUCCAUGGCAUCCCUCUGAAAGGGGAAAAUAUUUCCUUACGAGGACACAGAGCUCUGCUGUCUUUCCCUGAAACAUGUCUGCUCCACAUUCAUCCUUAUCCAAAAGGAGCCCCAAACUAACCCCAUACUCAGAAUUUCUCCUUUCCUUGCACCGCUACAGUCAUACAUAACUGUCAACAUGGCUCCCAAGAAGCUAGUUUCCAAGAUUAUCAUGUUAAAAAUUUAAGCGUUUCAGCCGCGGCUUUUCUAUAUUCCAAGUUUCUCAGGCUUGAAGACCUUCCAGAAUUGUUGCUGCUGCUGCUGCCAAAGAUCAAAUAUCUACCCUAACAGAAGCCCAAAAUAAAGUGGAGGAGGAGUUAUUGGAAGGAAGCUUAAGAUCAAGUUCUAUUAAUCUUUAACAUACAUUUUUAGCAGAAUGUUGUAUGCGAGAAAUCCCCAAUUCAAGCAGAUCAAUGAUAAGGACAGCAAUGAUGAAUCAGUGGCAAGAACUGACACUUCUUGUGCAAUGACAGUUCCAUAGCCUUAGAAGCCCACUUACAUGUCAUGCUUUCAUUGAAGACCUAGCUGUUUAAGAAUUGAAUGGGGGGUUUUUAGGCAGUUGGAUGUGCAGGAGAUUAUGUUUGGAAACUCCAGCUCAUUUCAGUGGUGAGACCAGGAAGAGAAGGUUUUUUUAAAAAAAGCCAUCCCCUGCUCUAAAUUAUUCCCAAAGGCAGGGCUGGCCCAAGGGAUUUUGGCACUGCAGGCGAACUAUGACUUUGGUAUGGCCCCCCACCUCAUUCAUACCGAGCUCCAGUUUUCUUUUUAUCUGUCAUGGUGUUAAUUUUCUGAAAAAUGUUAAACACCUGUUUCAACUAAGUUAUCGAAAUAGAGAACAAUUCUAUUUAUGUUAAAUUAAAUUGGUCCCAGGAAGCAGCUGCUGGCUAGGCAGCACAGGCCCUGCCCUAAGUCCCCAACAUGCCUCCCAAUCCCCUGCCCCAACUCCUGUACCUCCCAACAAUACCAGACCAAGCAAUGCCAGGUAAAUCUUCUAGUAUUAAUAUUUAAAAAAAAAAAAAAAUCACUUGUCUAAUUUGGCUCUUCUUAAAGCCUAGAACCUAAGGCAACCCACCUAGUUUGCCUGUGUGGCCAGGACAGCCCUGCCCACAGGGAAUGAAGAAAUGGCCAAAUAUAAAUGAAAACAGUAUCUGAGGGGAUGAGGGUGAUCUGACCUUUCUGAAGAACUAGUCAGGGGCUCAUUCCCCGAGAGUCAUUUUUUGGCCUACGGUUGUUUAACCAGUUGCCAGCAUCACAUAUAGCUGUGGCUGUCAGCCAAGGGUAUGCAGAGGUCUUCCAGGGGAUAAAUCAACUCAUCUCAGAGUUUGCCUUGUUUUACAACCAGCUACAUAAGAAGCACUAGCAAAGUCAGUACACAUUUAAAAUGUCAUACAAUGUCUUUAUACUGUCAUAUAUACUGAAAUGCAAAUAGUUACAUUCCAAUCGAUUUUAUAAUUCUAGGAUAAAAUGAGAAAGCAAUAUUUCAGUAAAUGUGCUAUGACAUGUCUGUACUUUUAUACAGGCUUUUUAAAAACAAGUACUUUUCAAGUGAGGUGAAACAGGUGGGUAUGCAAGAACUCAGUUGCUGAAAGGAGUACACUAGUUG